rnacentral:rRNA from 1 species
AACGAACGCUGGCGGCGCGUCUUAAACAUGCAAGUCGAACGAUCUGUAGCAAUACAGGGAGUGGCGGACGGGUGAGGAACACGUAGGAAUCUACCUUGAAGAGCGGGACAACUUUGGGAAACCGGGGCUAAUACCGCAUAGUACAGAGAUGUUAAAGGGCUAGCAAUAGUCGCUUCGAGAUGAGCCUGCGGUCUAUCAGCUUGUUGGUGAGGUAAUGGCUCACCAAGGCUACGACGGAUAGCCGGUCUGAGAGGAUGAUCGGCCACACUGGCACUGAGACACGGGCCAGACUCCUACGGGAGGCAGCAGUUAAGAAUCUUGCGCAAUGGGGGAAACCCUGACGCAGCGACGCCGCGUGAAGGACGAAGGCUUUCGGGUUGUAAACUUCGGUAGACUGGGAAGAAGAAAUAACGUUCGUUGA